AGAGUUUGAUCCUAGCUCAGGGUGAACGCUAGCGGUGCGCCUAACACAUGCAAGUCGAGCGGGAGUUGCACAGAGGAGACUUCGGUUGAAUCGGUGUAAUGAUAGCGGCGAACGGGUGAGUAACACGUUGGAACCUGCCCCCAAGUCAGGGAUAGCCAAGGGAAACCUUGGAUAAUACCGGAUAGUCUCUUAGGAGUAAAAAUUUAUUGCUUGGGGAGGGGCCUGCGGACUAUCAGCUAGUUGGUAAGGUAAGAGCUUACCAAGGCUAUGACGGAUAACUGGUCUGAGAGGAUGAUCAGUCACAAUGGAACUGAGACACGGCCCAUACUCCUACGGGAGGCAGCAGUGAGGAAUCUUCCACAAUGGGCGAAAGCCUGAUGGAGCGACACCGCGUGAAGGAUGAAGCCUUUGUUGGUGUAAACUUCUUUUCUCUUGGAAGAUAAUGACGGUACAAGAGGAAUAAGGGGCGGCAAACUUCGUGCCAGCAGCCGCGGUAAUACGAGGGCCCCAAGCGUUAUCCGGAAUUACUGGGCGUAAAGCGUCUGUAGGUGGUUUUUUAAGUUUCGUAUGAAACUCCAGGGCUCAACCCUGGAUUGUGCGAAAAACUGGGGAACUUGAGUGUGGGAGAGGCAAGCAGAACGGUAUGAGUAGGGGUGCAAUCCGUUGAUACAUACCAGAAUACCAAAAGCGAAGGCAGCUUGCUGGAACACUACUGACACUGAGAGACGAAAGCGUGGGGAGCGAAAGGGAUUAGAUACCCCUGUAGUCCACGCCCUAAACGAUGGAUGCUAGGUGUUGGACGUAAGUUCAGUGCUCAAGCUAACGCAUUAAGCAUCCCGCCUGAGGAGUACGGCCGCAAGGUUAAAACUCAAAUGAAUAGACGGGGACCCGCACAAGCAGUGGAUCAUGUGGUUUAAUUCGACAAUAAACGAGGAACCUCACCUAGGCUUGACAUUGAUAGAAUCCACCAGAAAUGGAGGAGUGCCCGCAAGGGAGCUUGAAAACAGGCGCUGCAUGGUUGUCGUCAGCUCGUGCCUUGAGGUGUUCGGUUAAGUCCGUUAACGAGCGCAACCCAUGUCCUUAGUUAAACUGUCUAAGGAGACUGCCUUGGUUAACAAGGAGGAAGGUGUGGAUGACGUCAAAUCAGCAUGGCUUUUACGUCUGGGGCUACACACAUGAUACAAUGGUGUAAACAAAGAGUAGUGAAUCCGCGAGGAGGAACCAAUCUUGAAAAUACAUCUCAGUCCGGAUUGGAGUCUGCAACUCGACUCCAUGAAGUUGGAAUUGCUAGUAAUCGUAAAUCAGAUAUGUUACGGUGAAUAUGUUCCUGGGUCUUGUACUCACCGCCCGUCAAGGCAUGGGAGGUAGUAAUAUCGGAAGUCCCCCUAGUAAUAAGGGGGCCCAUGGUAGAACUACUGACUGGGCUUAAGUCGUAACAAGGUAUCCGUAGGUGAACCUGCGGAUG
rnacentral:rRNA from 1 species